rnacentral:rRNA from 1 species
UACAGAGGGGGCAAGCGUUGUUCGGAAUUACUGGGCGUAAAGGGCGCGUAGGCGGCCUUCUAAGUCGAACGUGAAAUCCCUGGGCUCAACCCAGGAACUGCGUCCGAUACUGGGAGGCUUGAAUCCGGGAGAGGGAUGCGGAAUUCCAGGUGUAGCGGUGAAAUGCGUAGAUAUCUGGAGGAACACCAAUGGCGAAGGCAGCUCGCUGGGACGGUACUGACGCUGAGGCGCGAAAGCGUGGGGAGCAAACAGG